rnacentral:rRNA from 1 species
AGAAGAUGGUAAGGGCAAACGGUGGAUGCCUUGGCACAAGAAGCCGAUGAAGGACGUGAUAAGCUGCGAUAAGCCACGGUAAGGAGCACAUAUCCUGUGACCCGUGGAUUUCCGAAUGGGUAAACCCACCAAGAGUCAUUUCUUGGUACUUCCUGCUGAAUAUAUAGGCAGGAUAGAGGUAACCGGGGGAACUGAAACAUCUAAGUACCCCGAGGAAGAGAAAUCAAACGAGAUUCCCCUAGUAGUGGCGAGCGAACGGGGAUAUAGGACAAACCGUCAGUUGCGCAAGCGCUGGCGGGGUUGUAGGACCAUUCAUUGUGGAGUUACAAAACUUCGUGGAAGCAGAAUAGCUUGGAAAAGCUGGCGAGACAGGGUAAAAGCCCCGUACGCGAAUCUGCGAAGACUCCCGAGUGGCACCUGAGUACUGCCGGACACGUGAAACCCGGUGGGAACCUGGGGGGUCCACCCUCCAAUCCUAAAUACUCUCUUGUGACCGAUAGUGAACCAGUACCGUGAGGGAAAGGUGAAAAGCACCCCUAGCGGGGAGUGAAAUAGUACCUGAAACCGUUUGCCUACAAGCAGUCGGAGCAGACUUUUGUCUGUGACGGCGUGCCUUUUGUAGAAUGAGCCAGCGAGUUACGGCAUGUGGCAAGGUUAAGCUAAAAAGCGAGCCGCAGCGAAAGCGAGUCUGAAUAGGGCGAGUGAGUCGCAUACCGUAGACGCGAAGCCAGGUGAGCUAUCCAUGAGCAGGCUGAAGCGGGGGUAAGACCCCGUGGAGGGCCGAACCCACUUAGGUUGAAAACUGAGGGGAUGACUUGUGGAUAGGAGUGAAAGGCCUAUCAAACCUGGAGAUAUCUCGUUCUCUCCGAAAUAGCUUUAGGGCUAGCCUCGGAUGUUUACCAAUGGGGGUAGAGCACUGAAUAGUUGCGGGGGCUUCACCGCCUACCAAGAUUAAUCAAACUCCGAAUACCAUUGGUCUAGAAUCCGGGAGUCAGAAUAUGUGGGCUAAGCUGUGUAUUCGAAAGGGAAACAGCCCAGACCGCCCGCUAAGGUCCCAAAAUCAAUGCUAAGUGGCAAAGGAUGUGCGUUUGCUCAGACAACCAGGAUGUUGGCUUAGAAGCAGCCAUUCAUUUAAAGAGUGCGUAAUAGCUCACUGGUCGAGUGGACAUGCGCCGACAAUAUACGGGGCUAAGCAUUGUACCGAAGCGGCGGAUCAGUACUUUGUACUGGUGGUAGGAGAGCUUUCUGUACGGGUUGAAGCAGUUGGAUAACCAACUGUGGACUGUCCAGAAGUGAGAAUGCUGGCAUGAGUAACGAGAGACAUGUAAAAAACAUGUCCGCCGUAAACCCAAGGUUUCCUGGGCAAGGCUAAUCCUCCCAGGGUUAGGCGGGAGCUAAGGCAAGGCCGGAAGGCGUAGUCGAUGCACAACAGGUAGAAAUUCCUGUCCCUCCAAAAGAGCGUUAUCACCAAUGGGGUGACGGAGCAGGGUAGCUAGGCGGGGUUCUGGACGUCCCCGUGAUGGCACGUAGGCUGAGAAGUAGUGAAAUGCGCUUCUCGUGAUGGCUGAGGUGUCGGACGAAGCAAUUGAGUGAAGCUAGUAAGCCCAUACUUCCAAGAAAAACCUCUAGGGAGCUCUGAGGAGCCCGUACCGCAAACCGACACAGGUGGGUGGGUAGAGCAUACCAAGGCGAUCGGGAGAACUAUGGUUAAGGAACUCGGCAAAAUUGCCCCGUAACUUCGGGAGAAGGGGUGCCGGUUUCGGUGAAGGGAUUUACUCCCCGAGCUAAGAUCGGUCACAGUAAAUAGGUCCAAGCGACUGUUUAUCAAAAACACAGGACUCUGCUGAAGUCGUAAGACGACGUAUAGGGUCUGACGCCUGCCCGGUGCCGGAAGGUCACGAGGAGUUGUUAGCAUUAGCGAAGCAGCGAAUCUAAGCCCCGGUAAACGGCGGCCGUAACUAUAACGGUCCUAAGGUAGCGAAAUUCCUUGUCGGGUAAGUUCCGACCUGCACGAAAGGUGUAAUGAUUUGGGCACUGUCUCAACGAGAGACUCGGUGAAAUUAUAAUACCCGUGAAGAUGCGGGUUACCCGCGACAGGACGGAAAGACCCCAUGGAGCUUUACUGUAGCUUGAUAUUGAAUUUUGAUGCAGUAUGUACAGGAUAGGUAGGAGCCUGAGAAUCAUGCACGCCAGUGUAUGAGGAGGCGUUGUUGGGAUACUACCCUUGCUGUAUUGAAAUUCUAACCCUCGGCAUAGAAAACCGGGAGACAGUGUCAGGUGGGCAGUUUGACUGGGGCGGUCGCCUCCCAAAGAGUAACGGAGGCGUUCAAAGGUUCCCUCAGAAUGGUUGGAAAUCAUUUGCAGAGUGUAAAGGCACAAGGGAGCUUGACUGUGAGACCUACAAGUCGAGCAGGUGCGAAAGCAGGACUUAGUGAUCCGGUGGUUCCGCAUGGAAGGGCCAUCGCUCAACGGAUAAAAGCUACCCUGGGGAUAACAGGCUUAUCUCCCCCAAGAGUUCACAUCGACGGGGAGGUUUGGCACCUCGAUGUCGGCUCAUCGCAUCCUGGGGCUGAAGUCGGUCCCAAGGGUUGGGCUGUUCGCCCAUUAAAGCGGUACGCGAGCUGGGUU